UCUCAGUUCAGACUGCAGGCUGCAACUCGCCUGCACGAAGUCGGAAUUGCUAGUAAUCGCGGAUCAGAAUGCCGCGGUGAAUACGGUUCCCGGGCCUUGUACACACCGCCCGUCACACCAUGGGAGUCGGUAACACCCGAAGUCGGUGGUCUAACCGCAAGGAGCGACCUAGGGCAAAACUGGUGACUGGGGCUAAGUCGUAACAAGGUAAC
rnacentral:rRNA from 1 species